UUCAUUUCUUUCCACACGCCAGUUCUUAAUGUUCUCUUUCAAUUCUCGGGAAUUCUUUAUAUAAAGACCACUCCUCCCUUGAAUCGUCCUUAAUAUUGGAAUUAGAUAUCUUGAUAACUUCUCGAAAGGUGAUCCUACAGUCGAUACUAUUCCUCUCAUUGGAAAAUCUUCUUUAUGAAUUUUAGGUAAUCCCGAUAAUCUC